rnacentral:ncRNA from 1 species
GCGAGAGUUGGGAGCGGCCGGACUGGCCAGUGGGUGACUGCAGGCUGGACCUGUGUCGCUUCUUUCUUGUGGAGGCGCGUAGCUGUGUGCCCUUGAGUUGCGUCGUGCGCGAGUGUGGCGUGUAUCGCUUGGGCACCGUGGGGUGGCGAUGAACAGUUAACUCAGAACUGGUACGGACGAGGGGAAUCCGACUGUUUAAUUAAAACAAAGCAUUGCGAUGGCGACAAUUUCGUGUUAACGCAAUGUGAUUUCUGCCCAGUGCUCUGAAUGUCAAAGUGAAGAAAUUCAAUGAAGCGCGGGUAAACGGCGGGCGGCGCUUAGAGUUGGGCGCGGCCCUCCAAUGUUUAUCAUUUGUACAGCAGAAAUUUGGCAUAGUUAUAUGGAAAGAGGAACUUCGGGCUAGUGCAGAAAUUGCAUUAGUCAUCUGUCACAAGCGAAUGAUCGGAGUUGAACUG